rnacentral:rRNA from 1 species
CAGUCGCCGCGGUAAGACAGAGGAUGCAAGCGUUAUCCGGAAUGAUUGGGCGUAAAGCGUCUGUAGGUGGCUUUUCAAGUCCGCCGUCAAUCCCAGGGCUCAACCCUGGACAGGCGGUGGAAACUACCAAGCUGGAGUACGGUAGAGGGGGAUGGAAUUCCGCGUGUAGCAGUGAAAUGCGUAGAUAUGCGGAGGAACACCGAUGGCGAAGGCAAUCCCCUGGACCUGUACUGACGCUCAUGCACGAAAGCGUGGGGAGCAAACAGGAUUAGAUACCCCCGUAGUCCCUGUCUCUUAUACA